CCUGUUUCGAGUAAUCUCCCAUGGGCAAUCUGAUGACGUCACCAAUCACCAUGGAAAGUGUUUGAAAAUGGCGACGGUCGCUUGAAUAGAGCUGCCAAGUCGUGGAGUUACUGAUCGACAGCAUCUUGCAGGGAACAACAAUAUUUCGAAGUGUACCCAGUCGUAACAUUGCAUCAUGGAAGACGAGACAUCUCCCCAGCCAGUGGCUGGACCGGAAGGAUCAGGGGAGGCUACUGGUGAAGAAACAGUUAUUACAAUUACUGAAACG